AGGGGGAGGCAGUGGGGGCUGUCACCCACUGUCACAGUGCGGCGGCCAGAGCCGAGUCCCUGCUGGGCACGGUCAGGGCUGUGGUGGCACGGCCUGAGGGGCUCGGGGGGGACACAGAGGAAACAGGGAUGCAUGGGAACAGCCGGUGUGCAGGAGUGAGCCUGGGGACACUGAGAGCACGGGGACACCAAGCACAGGGACACUGAGAGCACGGGGACACCGAGCACAGGGGACACCGAGCACAGGGAUGAGGACAGGGAUGUGCAAAGGGACACAGAGGGACACAGACCGUGCAGGGACACAGGACUCCACUCGCAGCUGCUCUCUGGGAGCAGAGCUCGAGCAGGGGUGACAACACCGGUGACAGUCGCCGGUGGCAGCAGCGCUCUCCGCGGGCCCCUGUGUCGGGCGCUGGGCGAGCAGCUCUUAGUCAGGCUGUGUCACCCGACCCAUUGAAUCACUGGAAAAUCCGGCAGGGCUCGGGGACAGGGAACAGCCGGGGGGACACCCGGCUCCACCGGGGCCACCUGGAUCCACGGGAAGGUGGGGCAGGAUGUGGGAGAGCCAACCAGGGCUGUCCUGCAGCCGAGUGGUGGCACGGGGACAGCAGGGUCCCCACGAGGAGCCGGGGCGGCUGGAGACGCUGUCAGAGCAUCCGAGCCCUCGCUCCGGUGAGGUGAGAGCGGCUCCGUGGUGCCAUCGGUGCAUCUCCAUCCUGGGAACGGGGCCGGGAUGGCGUCACAUGGGACGGACAUCUCCAUCCUGGGAACGGGGCCGGGAUGGCAUCACAUGGGACGGAGAUGGAGAUGAUGCAGAUGAUGGAGGUGAUGGAGGUGAUGCAGAUGCAGAGGGAUCUCCGGUGCCGGCGGGGCUGCCCUAGGGGCGCGCAGGCAGCCGUGAGCCCCGCUGCGAUCUCCCCUUCUCCCGGCGCGUCCGGCGGCUCCCGGCGCUCAGCUCGGCGCUGCGCUCGGCCAUGAAGCGGGCGUAGCUCCAGAGGACCUGGCACCCCUGCAGCUUCUGUCGGAAGAUGCCGAGGGAUGCCGC
rnacentral:lncRNA from 12 species